GAUGAACGCUAGCUACAGGCUUAACACAUGCAAGUCGCGGGGCAGCAUGGGGGUUGCUUGCACUCCCCGAUGGCGACCGGCGCACGGGUGAGUAACGCGUAUCCAACCUGCCCUUCACCACGGGAUAACCCGGCGAAAGUCGGACUAAUACCGUAUGUUGUCCAUUGACGGCAUCCGAUUUGGACGAAAGGUUUGGCGGUGAAGGAUGGGGAUGCGUCCGAUUAGCUGGACGGCGGGGUGACGGCCCACCGUGGCGACGAUCGGUAGGGGUUCUGAGAGGAAGGUCCACCACACUGGAACUGAGACACGGUCCAGACUCCUACGGGAGGCAGCAGUGAGGAAUAUUGGUCAAUGGGCGUAAGCCUGAACCAGCCAAGUAGCGUGCAGGAUGACGGCCCUAUGGGUUGUAAACUGCUUUUAUGCGGGGAUAAAGUGGCCCACGUGUGGGUUUUUGCAGGUACCGCAUGAAUAAGGACCGGCUAAUUCCGUG
rnacentral:rRNA from 1 species